rnacentral:rRNA from 1 species
GACGAACGCUGGCGGCGUGCUUAACACAUGCAAGUCGAACGGUAAGGCCCUUCGGGGUACACGAGUGGCGAACGGGUGAGUAACACGUGGGUGAUCUGCCCUGCACUUUGGGAUAAGCCUGGGAAACUGGGUCUAAUACCGAAUACACCCUGCUGGUCGCAUGGCCUGGUGGGGGAAAGCUUUUGCGGUGUGGGAUGGGCCCGCGGCCUAUCAGCUUGGUGGUGGGGUGAUGGCCUACCAAGGCGACGACGGGUAGCCGGCCUGGGAGGGUGGCCGGCCACACUGGGACUGAGAUACGGCCCAGACUCCUACGGGAGGCAGCAGUGGGGAAUAUUGCACAAUGGGCGCAAGCCUGAUGCAGCGACGCCGCGUGAGGGAUGACGGCCUUCGGGUUGUAAACCUCUUUCAAUAGGGACGAAGCGCAAGUGACGGUACCUAUAGAAGAAGGACCGGCCAACUACGUGCCAGCAGCCGCCGUAA